rnacentral:rRNA from 1 species
CAGUCGCCACGGGAAUACAGAGGGUGCGAGCGUUAAUCGGAUUUACUGGGCGUAAAGCGUGCGUAGGCGGCUUUUUAAGUCGGAUGUGAAAUCCCUGAGCUUAACUUAGGAAUUGCAUUCGAUACUGGGAAGCUAGAGUAUGGGAGAGGAUGGUAGAAUUCCAGGUGUAGCGGUGAAAUGCGUAGAGAUCUGGAGGAAUACCGAUGGCGAAGGCAGCCAUCUGGCCUAAUACUGACGCUGAGGUACGAAAGCAUGGGGAGCAAACAGGAUUAGAUACCCCUGUAGUCCCUGUCUCUUAUAU